UGCGUAGGCGGUUGUUUAAGUUGGAUGUGAAAUACCCGGGCUUAACUUGGGGGUGCAUUCAAAACUGGAUGACUAGAGUUCAGGAGAGGGAAGCGGAAUUCCUAGUGUAGCGGUGAAAUGCGUAGAUAUUAGGAGGAACACCAGUGGCGAAGGCGGCUUACUGGACGGUAACUGACGUUGAGGCUCGAAAGCGUGGGGAGCAAACA
rnacentral:rRNA from 1 species